UACGUAGGCAGCGAGCGUUGUUCGGAGUUACUGGGCGUAAAGCGUGCGUAGGCGGUGUCUUAAGUUCGUUGUGAAAUCUCCCGGCUUAACCGGGAGGGUGCGGCGAAUACUGAGAUGCUGGAGUGCCGGAGAGGUAAGCGGAAUUCCUGGUGUAGCGGUGAAAUGCGUAGAUAUCAGGAGGAACACCUGCGGUGUAGACGGCUUACUGGACGGUAACUGACGCUGAGGCACGAAAGCGUGGGUAGCAAACAGG
rnacentral:rRNA from 1 species